rnacentral:rRNA from 1 species
GAUGAACGCUGGCGGCGUGCCUAAUACAUGCAAGUCGAGCGAACAGACGAGGAGCUUGCUCCUCUGACGUUAGCGGCGGACGGGUGAGUAACACGUGGAUAACCUACCUAUAAGACUGGGAUAACUUCGGGAAACCGGAGCUAAUACCGGAUAAUAUAUUGAACCGCAUGGUUCAAUAGUGAAAGACGGUUUUGCUGUCACUUAUAGAUGGAUCCGCGCCGCAUUAGCUAGUUGGUAAGGUAACGGCUUACCAAGGCGACGAUGCGUAGCCGACCUGAGAGGGUGAUCGGCCACACUGGAACUGAGACACGGUCCAGACUCCUACGGGAGGCAGCAGUAGGGAAUCUUCCGCAAUGGGCGAAAGCCUGACGGAGCAACGCCGCGUGAGUGAUGAAGGGCUUCGGAUCGUAAAACUCUGUUAUUAGGGAAGAACAAAUGUGUAAGUAACUAUGCACGUCUUGACGGUACCUAAGCAGAAAGCCACGGCUAACUACGU